rnacentral:rRNA from 1 species
CCUAAGGUAGCGAAAUUCCUUGUCGGGCAAGUUCCGACCUGCACGAAUGGCAUAACGAUGGCCACACUGUCUCCUCCUGAGACUCAGUGAAGUUGAAGUGUUUGUGAUGAUGCAAUCUCCCCGCGGCUAGACGGAAAGACCCCAUGAACCUUUACUGUAGCUUUGCAUUGGACUUUGAACCGAUCUGUGUAGGAUAGGCGGGAGCCUGUGAAACCACAACGCCAGUUGUGGCGGAGGCGUCCUUGAAAUACCGCCCUGAUUUGUUUGAGGUUCUAACCUGGGACAGUCAUCCUGUCCGGGGACCGUGCAUGGUAGGCAGUUUGACUGGGGCGGUCGCCUCCUAAAGGGUAACGGAGGAGUGCGAAGGUACGCUAGGUACGGUCGGAAAUCGUGCUGAUAGUGCAAUGGCAAAAGCGUGCUUGACUGCGAGACCCACAAGUCGAGCAGAUACGAAAGUAGGUCAUAGUGAUCCGGUGGCUCUGUAUGGAAGGGCCAUCGCUCAACGGAUAAAAGGUACUCUGGGGAUAACAGGCUGAUACCGCCCAAGAGUUCAUAUCGACGGCGGUGUUUGGCACCUCGAUGUCGGCUCAUCUCAUCCUGGGGCUGUAGCCGGUCCCAAGGGUAUGGCUGUUCGCCAUUUAAAGAGGUACGUGAGCUGGGUUUAAAACGUCGUGAGACAGUUUUGUCCCUAUCUGCCGUGGGCGCUGGAAGAUUGACGGGGGCUGCUCCUAGUACGAGAGGACCGGAGUGGACUCACCUCUGGUGUACCGGUUGUCACGCCAGUGGCAUCGCCGGGUAGCUAUGUGGGGAAGAGAUAACCGCUGAAAGCAUCUAAGCGGGAAACUUGCCUGAAGAUAAGUCUUCCUGGAGGCUAGACCUCCCUAAAGAGUCGUUCGAGACCAGGACGUUGAUAGGAUGGGUGUGUAAGUGCUGUGAGGCACUCAGCUAACCAUUACUAAUUGCUCGUGAAGCUUGAUCCU